rnacentral:tRNA from 1 species
GCGGGGAUAGCUCAGCUGGGAGAGCGUCAGACUGAAGUACAACUUCAUUCUAACAUCUGAAGGUCGUGUGUUCGAUCCACACUCACCGCA